rnacentral:rRNA from 1 species
GAGUUUGAUCAUGGCUCAGAACGAACGCUGGCGGCAGGCUUAACACAUGCAAGUCGAACGCCCCGCAAGGGGAGUGGCAGACGGGUGAGUAACACGUGGGAAUCUACCCAUCUCUGCGGAACAACUCCGGGAAACUGGAGCUAAUACCGCAUACGCCCUACGGGGGAAGAUUUAUCGGAGAUGGAUGAGCCCGCGUUGGAUUAGCUAGUUGGUGGGGUAAAGGCCUACCAAGGCGACGAUCCAUAGCUGGUCUGAGAGGAUGAUCAGCCACAUUGGGACUGAGACACGGCCCAAACUCCUAC